AACGACGCUGGCGGCAGGUCUUAGGCAUGCAAGUCGAACGGGUGAAACAGGUGCUCGCACUUGUGGAUCUAGUGGCGCACGAGUGAGUAACGCGUGGGAAACUGCCCACCACUGGGGAAUAACGUUUGGAAACGAACGCUAAUACCGCAUGGCACAGGGGUAAAAGGAGAAAUCCGCUUAGAGAUGGCCUCGCGUCUGAUUAGCUAGUUGGUGGGGUAACGGCCUACCAAGGCGACGAUCAGUAGCCGGACUGAGAGGUUGAACGGCCACAUUGGGACUGAGACACGGCCCAGACUCCUACGGGAGGCAGCAGUGGGGAAUAUUGCACAAUGGGGGAAACCCUGAUGCAGCAACGCCGCGUGAGGGAAGACGGUUUUCGGAUUGUAAACCUCUGUCCUCUGUGAAGAAGAAAGUGACGGUAGCAGAGGAGGAAGCCACGGCUAACUACGUG
rnacentral:rRNA from 1 species